AUAUAUAUACAUAAUACAUAUAUAUUGUACAUACACACUCACAAACAUUAAAAUAAAAAAAUAACAAUGAAUAAACAACAUUAAUAUUAACAUUUAUUAACAUUAAUAUGAUAAUUAAUGUACAAUACAAACAUUUAUGUACAAAAAUAAUGUAUUUGCAAACAUUAAAAUAAAAAAUAAACGUAAAAAGGAAACGCCGGUAUGACAGCCUCUUUACAUCUAUUUAGACCGCUCUCAGCACCCGUACCGUAAGUGCACGAUUAGACGCGCAUACAAAAAAAGUGCGGCUGGCUUGACCGCAGUCUUUUUCGCCGUGUUUUUCACUCUUUUACAGGCUGCCAGAAAGAAUCCGUCUCUAUACGGUGAGCUAUUGUUGCUGUUGCUUUUUGAACUACAAAUUGAGUUUUAAGUUCAUUAUUGAAUAUUAAUUGAACGAGACUGUAAUUUAUUAAUGUAAUAUUUUCUUCCUAUAUGUUUAUUUGUGUAAAUGCUGUGUGCGCGUUGAGCUCUGCUCGAGCGGGGAGCAGAGUUGCCAUGGAAACGGGGCUUUGACACAACUACUGGCAAACAGUAAUCUCCGUCUCGCGCUGCGGUUUUCACUGAUUUCAGGAGGACAGAAAGAAACUCUACAUAACAGAAGGGAAGCUCCAAGAUUUCAACAUUUCUGAAGGGAGCUACUGACUUAGAAAUACAGAUUCUUCAGUGGUGAUGGCCUGCUGCACCCAGCACAGUUGGAGUGAACCUACUGUCAGACAGUGGCGUACCGUGGGGUUUCAGUCAGGGCCUUCAAUUCUUCAGUGCUGAUGGCCUGCUGCACCCAGCAGAGUCCGUGUGAACUCCUGUAAGACAACAUCACCAAGAUGCUAUAAACCGCAGGAUUAG